UGAUGGUGGAAAGACAACAUUUGUUUAUGUCAUUGUCGAUAAGAAAAUGUGAGAAUAUAUCUUUUCUUUCGUCAUUAUUGUCGAAAGGCAACUAGUACUUAGCUUCUUGUAGUUAUAACUAGAUGAGUGUAGCAGUCAACACAGCUACAGCUACAACAUUUGUUUAUGUUCCUUGGUCUGCACCUCGACAUAAAUUAUUUUCAGUUUCACGACAUAACAUAAACUGUUCAGUGCACAACAUUUUUUUCACCCUGUGAUAUAAAUCACGUGAAGAUAAUCAUGAAAUGGUUGAAUCAUCCAAUUAUUUCUCAAAACUUUGGGUCGCGUCUCCUGGUCGACUUUGGUUAUUCUUAGUGUGACACUUCUGUAUGGAUCCCAAGUUUACAGGCCUGCAAAUCGGAAUUAUUCACCUCAAAGUUAGCUGGCUGUAUAUUCAUUUUCUAUGUUUCAUACAUGAUGCUCUUUACUGUUAAGUUGAACAGAUAGUACUGUAGUACUUAGUGGAAAGGAAAUUUCAUCAGCUUGCAUGUAUAUUAAUUGUAUGAUUUUUUGUCUUUCCAGGUUGCUGUCAGGUUGUGUAGGAAAGACAGACACUACACCACGCACUAGAUUUUCCUACAGAUGUGUGUUGUGAAAAGUCAGUUUCGCCGGCAAUUUUGUUUUCUUAUAUUGCUAUAUCAUUUUGUGCUUCUAAUGUUUUUCUGCACCAUUCGAGCUAGUAUGUUUUGCAUCAAAAAAUUAAAUGUGCACCACACUUUUUCAUCAAAUAUUCAUCUAUAGGCUGUAUGACUUUUAUUUUCCUAAACCUCCCUGGGCCAUUCGUGAGAGGGAGACAAUGUAAAUAUUCAAUUUUGUGUAAUGAUUUUCGCAAUAGCUUUUCUUGUGGGUUUGGCAAUUAUGUAAAGAUAAUUGACUAUAGCACAAACUGAAGAAGUUCUUGACCAUGUUUGUGUAAUUUGUACAUAGUAAGGAAACUAUGAUGUAGGUUGCAGUUCAUUUACAUGGCAUCGUAAGGAUUAAAACAUAUAUAUUAAUGCCUUAAAUUUAUGUUGCCUUUUUUUAUUUAAAGCAAAGACCGCUUUCUCGUGACUGUUGUUUGAAAAGUUGUCUCUCAGGUGGAAUUAGCUCAUGGUGGGAGUGAUUAAUCUUACUCGUAUGAUCGCCCAAGCAGCGUUAGCAAUGGAUGCCAUGGAGGUGUUUCUAGGUGCUCUGAGUACCAAGGUUUGUACUUCUAAAUGUCUCCUAUUGCAUUUCCAUAGCUGCUAAAUGUCUCCUAUUGCAUUUUCAGCGAUGUACUCAUAUAGCAUGCCUUUUACAAGAGGAAAAAUGGCAGAGUAUGAACACCAACUGAAAGUAGCAGAGUAUGAACUAAUGAAAAGUCGAAAGUAAGUCAUCCUGCUGAGUUAAAAUGUAGUAUAUUCAUCCACACAUUUUCAUUUUUGGUGGAAAGUAAAUAUAGGUAGAACAUUCAGCAGUACAAACACAACUAGCUGAAGUCAGUGAUAUAAGUUCUAUUCUGUUAUGAAAAUAGAACAUCUAAAACACAUGUGCUUUAUGUGAUGACUUAGUUCCUCCCUGCUUUUCCUUUUUAAAUUCAUCGUAAUUUACUAAACCUUCUAGUUCUGUUAUCUGGGCUAGACCUCCACAUAUCUUUUAUGUGAUGGUUUAGUUCCUCUAGAGAUUACCUUGAAAUUUGGAAUUUCAAAGUCUUCCUGUGAUUACUAAUUACCAAGAUAUCAUGUGGUAUUAUGUGAUAUUUAUAAUGGGGCACCGUAUUAUUAACUAACUUUUAUUGUCUAUACACUGAAUGCAAACAAGGUAUUUUGUGUUUUUAUUCUCUGUUUUGCAUAAGUGGCGUGCAACUGUUUCCAUGCUUUUUAUUAUCUGGAAGCAAUAGCAAGGAUUUAUCAUACAUGAGGGUACUUAAAGGCCAGCUAGGAAAUAAAAUAGCUUUGAAUACCAAACUCGAGAACCUACUUUUUUAAGUAGACUUUUAGUGCCGCCAUUAUCGUGAACUAUAUGCAGCAUGGAGCACUCUAAUUAUUCAUCUGCUAGAUCCACUAUGAACUACUAGAAAUCUGUACUAAAAGUCUGCACUAUCAAUUUCAAUUAUCAUGGAAACAGUCACAGUUAAAUCCACUAUCAAUUUCAAUUAUCUAAUUGUACUAUCAAUUUCAAUUAUCAUGGUAUAUUAAAGUCAAAGCUAAAUCAACUAUGAACUACUAGAAAUCUGUACAUCUACUGAAAGAGUCACAGUUAUAUAUAUAUAUAUUUAGUGUUUAGUUGUAUGUUUUUUUGGAACAAGUGUUGGAAUAUGGGGUAAUGGUACCUAUGUACAGUAACUUAAGUAUGUCCCAGGUACACUAUAUGCCCAGCAAUCGUAAAAAGUAAGUGAUGCAUUUCCUUUCGAAUGGAUAGACAAAAAGUGGGUGAAGGGCUUCUAUGCCACAUCUGUGGCUACUGCUGGAAGUUAAUUGCUGGUCUUGAUGUCCUGAAAUGCUACUUUUAUACAUUAGGCAUGAAUAUUCCUCAUUUUGUGCUGUUGUGUGUGCACAGUGCACAUGUGAAUUCUGCCAGCAUUCAAUUUCUUAUAUUAAUUGAACAUUCUAAUAAUGGAGACUUAUUUAAAUUCUGUAGGGCGCAAACAUAAGGAUUGGAAUCACAAUGAACCAUGAAGCCAGUGAUCCGCAUCAACUGGAUGUUCUACUUUUCAUUUUGUACAAUUGAUGUCUCAUACUACUUUCAUCUUUUUGCUUCUGUAAAUCUGGUGUAUGGUGUCCUGUGCGAACAGACUGAAGUGUAUGUAUGUGACAAUUAGUUAAUGGAAUAAAAAAUGUUUGGUGCACCUGA
rnacentral:lncRNA from 1 species